AUGACAUCAGGUGGAUCACAAUCAUGCAGGGAAACUCAUGUGAUCUUUGUAUUGAGAAAUAUGGGAGAGAAAACAAAAGCAAUAGACCAAAGGAAACUACUCGCGGGUGACCAUGGUGGCCUUCAAGUGGAUGGAGAUGGCCACCGUGAAGAAUUCCCCUCCGACAGAGCUCUGGAAAAGGCCUUCGGUUUGGAUCAUCAUAGAACAGAGAGGUGUGGCAGUGAAAAAAUAGGGUUGAAAAUUCACGGGCGUUUUCGGAUACGCUUGAGAGGUUUUAUCUUCAAGAGGGGGUUGACCGACCAAAGGAGUUGGAGUCCUCAUACUCCUCCAUUACUUGCCCUCCAAGUAAGUAGGGGGUUGGCCGACUUUGGACCAUGGGCUUCCUUGUCCCCAAGCAAGUUGGGGAGGCCCAUGCGAGAUUGGCGGUAUCCUCACAUAGUCAAUGGCGUCGACCAAGCACACAUAGGCAAGCACUCGAAGAUUGUGUUGAAGACAUGUAGUUGCAGUCGGGGUUGA
rnacentral:rRNA from 1 species